AUUUCCUUGUUUAGAAGCUGGCUUACACUUUUAGAGGGCUAUGGAUGCAGUAUAAUUUACUGCUUAGGAAGUUACUAAAGGAACAGGGAGCAGUUAAGUGAAUGUAUUCACGGUCAUCUUGUGUGGGAAACAGAACUUCUGAAAUCAGAGAAGAGGAAUUUGGCUGCCUAGUGGGGCACGGCACCACGGUUGGACUGUAUCUUCAGUAAUGUAUGGAAUGGCUGAAUGUGCACUUGCUGUUGCCAUGAUGUGAGAAGCAGAUGUUUUCCCCUAUGACUGUCAGAGCUGCAGCCAGGCAGAUGGCUGCUUUCCUGAGAGUCCAUGACUUUGGGGUGCCCAGGAUGCAGGCAGGCAGUCAAAAUGCUGGCUAGAGGUUGAUCUGAGAGGUUAAGAUACCUGAACAUGUGAAACUGCCCAGCAUAAUACAACUUGCCUAACAUGACAGGUAGUGGUGGGAGAAGCUGAAAAGCUACUGCAUAGGUGGUUGGGGGGAAUUUAUAUUAGAAAAGGCCCAAAUUCACUGAUAAUUGAAAAGGACUGUUGGAAACCUCUGGUGGAAAGAAGCUGAGUGGCAAGGUGGAGUGUUUUGUAUGACCAACAGCAACUAGGUAACUAUAUCA
rnacentral:lncRNA from 1 species